rnacentral:rRNA from 1 species
UACGGGGGGGGCAAGCGUUGUUCGGAAUUACUGGGCGUAAAGGGCGCGUAGGCGGUGCUCUAAGUCGGAUGUGAAAACUCUGGGCUCAACCCAGAGCCUGCAUCCGAAACUGGAGUGCUAGAGUUCUGGAGGGGGUAGCGGAAUUCCUGGUGUAGCGGUGAAAUGCGUAGAUAUCAGGAGGAACACCGGUGGCGAAGGCGGCUACCUGGACAGAAACUGACGUGAGGCGCGAAAGCUAGGGGAGCAAACAGG